rnacentral:rRNA from 1 species
AGCGAACGCUGGCGGCAGGCCUAACACAUGCAAGUCGAACGAACUCUUCGGAGUUAGUGGCGGACGGGUGAGUAACACGUGGGAACGUGCCUUUUGGUUCGGAAUAACUCAGGGAAACUUGUGCUAAUACCGAAUGUGCCCUUCGGGGGAAAGAUUUAUCGCCAUUAGAGCGGCCCGCGUCUGAUUAGCUAGUUGGUGAGGUAACGGCUCACCAAGGCGACGAUCAGUAGCUGGUCUGAGAGGAUGACCAGCCACACUGGGACUGAGACACGGCCCAGACUCCUACGGGAGGCAGCAGUGGGGAAUCUUGCGCAAUGGGCGAAAGCCUGACGCAGCCAUGCCGCGUGAAUGAUGAAGGUCUUAGGAUUGUAAAAUUCUUUCACCGGGGACGAUAAUGACGGUACCCGAAGAAGAAGCCCCGGCUAACUUCGUG